rnacentral:tRNA from 1 species
GCGUCCAUAGCUCAGCUGGUAGAGCAGAUCCCUCUUAAGGAUAAGGUCCCAGGUUCGAUCCCUGGUGGACGCACCA